rnacentral:rRNA from 1 species
CUCUAUGGCCAUGCCACCCUGAACGAGUCUGAUCCCAUCUGAUCUCGGAAGCUAAGCAGGGUCGGGCCUGGUUAGUACUUGGAUGGGAGACCACCGAGGAAGACUAGGUGCUGCAGGCA